GACGAACGCUGGCGGCGUGCCUAAUACAUGCAAGUAGAACGCUGAAGGAGGAGCUUGCUUCUCUGGAUGAGUUGCGAACGGGUGAGUAACGCGUAGGUAACCUGCCUGGUAGCGGGGGAUAACUAUUGGAAACGAUAGCUAAUACCGCAUAAUAGUAGAUGUUGCAUGACAUUUGCUUAAAAGGUGCAAUUGCAUCACUACCAGAUGGACCUGCGUUGUAUUAGCUAGUUGGUGGGGUAACGGCUCACCAAGGCGACGAUACAUAGCCGACCUGAGAGGGUGAUCGGCCACACUGGGACUGAGACACGGCCCAGACUCCUACGGGAGGCAGCAGUAGGGAAUCUUCGGCGAUGGACGGAAGUCUGACCGAGCAACGCCGCGUGAGUGAAGAAGGUUUUCGGAUCGUAAAGCUCUGUUGUAAGAGAAGAACGAGUGUGAGAGUGGAAAGUUCACACUGUGACGGUAUCUUACCAGAAAGGGACGGCUAACUACGUG
rnacentral:rRNA from 1 species